CCCGCUGAACUUAAGCAUAUCAAUAAGCGGAGGAAAAGAAACUAACAAGGAUUCCCCUAGUAACUGCGAGUGAAGCGGGAAAAGCUCAAAUUUAAAAUCUGGUGGUCUUUGGCCAUCCGAGUUGUAAUUUAGAGAAGCGUCUUCCGCGCUGGGCCGUGCACAAGUCUCCUGGAAUGGAGCCUCACAGAGGGUGAGAAUCCCGUCUUUGGCAUGGACACACCAGGGCUUUUGUGAUGCGCUCUCGAAGAGUCGAGUUGUUUGGGAAUGCAGCUCAAAAUGGGUGGUGAACUCCAUCUAAAGCUAAAUAUUGGCGAGAGACCGAUAGCGAACAAGUACCGUGAGGGAAAGAUGAAAAGCACUUUGGAAAGAGAGUGAAACAGUACGUGAAAUUGUUGAAAGGGAAACGUUUGAAGUCAGUCGCGUCGGCCGAGACUCAGCCUUGCUUCCGCUCGGUGCACUUCUCGGUUGACGGGUCAGCAUCAAUUUCGACCGCCGGAUAAAGGUUGAGGGAACGUGACAUCUUUCGAGGUGUGUUAUAGCCCUCGAUUCGCAUACGGCGAUUGGGAUUGAGGAACUCAGCGCGCCUUUAUGGUCGGGGUAGCAACCCACGUAACGCGCUCAGGAUGCUGGCAUAAUGGCUUUAAGCGACCCGUCUUGAAACACGG
rnacentral:rRNA from 1 species